rnacentral:tRNA from 2 species
GCAGACAUGGCCGAGUGGUUAAGGCGAUAGACUAGAAAUCCAUUGGGAUCUAUCCGCACAAGUUCGAAUCCUGUCGACUGCG